rnacentral:rRNA from 1 species
UACGGAGGGUGCAAGCGUUAUCCGGAUUCACUGGGUUUAAAGGGUGCGUAGGUGGGCAGGUAAGUCAGUGGUGAAAUCUCCGGGCUUAACCCGGAAACUGCCGUUGAUACUAUUUGUCUUGAAUAUUGUAGAGGUAAGCGGAAUAUGUCAUGUAGCGGUGAAAUGCUUAGAUAUGACAUAGAACACCAAUUGCGAAGGCAGCUGACUGGACAAUGAUUGACACUGAGGCACGAAAGCGUGGGGAGCAAACAGG